rnacentral:rRNA from 1 species
GAUGAACGCUGGCGGCGUGCUUAACACAUGCAAGUCGAACGGUGAAGCAGGAGCUUGCUCUUGUGGAUCAGUGGCGAACGGGUGAGUAACACGUGAGCAACCUGCCCCUGACUCUGGGAUAAGCGCUGGAAACGGCGUCUAAUACUGGAUAUGUGAUGUGACCGCAUGGUCUGCAUCUGGAAAGAAUUUCGGUUGGGGAUGGGCUCGCGGCCUAUCAGCUUGUUGAUGAGGUAAUGGCUCACUAAGGCGUCGACGGGUAGCCGGCCUGAGAGGGUGACCGGCCACACUGGGACUGAGACACGGCCCAGACUCCUACGGGGGGCAGCAGUGGGGAAUAUUGCACAAUGGGCGGAAGCCUGAUGCAGCAACGCCGCGUGGGGGAUGACGGCCUUCGUGUUGUAAACCUCUUUUAGCAGGGAAGAGGCGAAAGUGACGGUACCUGCAGAAAAAGCACCGGCUAACUACGUGCCAGCCGCCGCAGUAA